CUCUUUCCCAGAUCAGCAAUGAACAUUGGAUUAAUUAUUUUGUGCAAACUCUGAUUCUCCAACUUUCAUACUGCUCUCCCCGUGAGAAGAACUUCAUCUACAAAUGCUGGGGAGCAGCAAUGAAAGCUUCAUUGGGGACACUGAUUCAGUCCAGCCUGUGGAGAAUGGUACAGGAGAUCAAUUUUGAUGAGAGUGAAGAAAGAGAAGGGCUUGCCUGUGGUCUUGGCAUUUGUUCUAUGCACCAUCUGGAAAUUUUCCCCCUUUUGGAAGAAUACCAGUGUUUUGUUGAUAACCUAAAAACCGAUUAUUAUCUAAUGGAAAGUACAAAGGU